UACGUAGGGUGCAAGCGUUGUCCGGAAUUAUUGGGCGUAAAGAGCUCGUAGGCGGUUUGUCGCGUCUGCUGUGAAAACCCGAGGCUCAACCUCGGGCCUGCAGUGGGUACGGGCAGACUAGAGUGCGGUAGGGGAGAUUGGAAUUCCUGGUGUAGCGGUGGAAUGCGCAGAUAUCGGGAGGAACACCGGUGGCGAAGGCGGGUCUCUGGGCCAUUACUGACGCUGAGGAGCGAAAGCGUGGGGAGCGAACAGG
rnacentral:rRNA from 1 species